rnacentral:rRNA from 1 species
GAUGAACGCUGGCGGCGUGCAUAACACAUGCAAGUCGAACGGGAUCCAUCAGGCUUUGCUUGGUGGUGAGAGUGGCGAACGGGUGAGUAAUGCGUGACCGACCUGCCCCAUACACCGGAAUAGCUCCUGGAAACGGGUGGUAAUGCCGGAUGCUCCGACUCCUCGCAUGGGGUGUCGGGAAAGUUUUCAUCGGUAUGGGAUGGGGUCGCGUCCUAUCAGGUAGUCGGCGGGGUAACGGCCCACCGAGCCUACGACGGGUAGCCGGCCUGAGAGGGCGACCGGCCACAUUGGGACUGAGAUACGGCCCAGACUCCUACGGGAGGCAGCAGUGGGGAAUAUUGCACAAUGGGCGCAAGCCUGAUGCAGCGACGCCGCGUGCGGGAUGACGGCCUUCGGGUUGCAAACCGCUUUUGAUCGGGAGCAAGCCUUCGGGUGAGUGUACCUUUCGAAUAAGCACCGGCUAACUACGUGCCAGCAGCCGCCGUAA